rnacentral:rRNA from 1 species
CCCUUAGAUGUUCUGGGCAGCACGCGCGCUACAAUGGUCUUCGCAAACGGAUGCAUUCUCGGAGGAGAAUGCCAAUCUUGGAAUCUAUGCCUUGGUCGGGACAGUUGCUUGCAAUUUUUCGACUCGAACCAGGAAUUCCUUGUAAUCGUGAUUCAUCACAUCACGAUGAAUACGUCCCUGCCCUUUGUACACACCGCCCGUCGCUCCUACCGAUCGAAGAGUUAGGUGAAUUGUUUUGAUCGAUAAGAUUUGACUAUGGUCAACUCUCGUUGUGAAAUUCUGUGAAUCUGACUGUUUAGAGGAAGGAAAAGUCGUAACA